AGGUAUGCAUUGAGGAUGACAGAUACACUACCUUCAAAUAGUUCCACUGUUACCCAUCCAUCUUAAAUGCAUGCCAGUAGAGAAGGAAUGUGGCCUGGAUUCCAGUUCCCUGCCUCCCAGGAGUUUUCAAUUUGGAAAGCUGAAACAAGAUAAUCAUUAAGAGAGACAACUCUGAAGUCACUCUGCCUGGAUGGAAUGAAAAAAUGAUAAAAAAAUAAAUCCCUG